rnacentral:rRNA from 1 species
GACGAACGCUGGCGGCGUGCUUAACACAUGCAAGUCGAACGGUAAGGCCCCAGCUUGCUGGGGUACACGAGUGGCGAACGGGUGAGUAACACGUGGGUGACCUGCCCCGCACUUCGGGAUAAGCCUGGGAAACUGGGUCUAAUACCGGAUACGACCGCACCGUGAGGGUGUGGUGGAAAGUUUUUCGGUGUGGGAUGGGCCCGCGGCCUAUCAGCUUGUUGGUGGGGUAAUGGCCUACCAAGGCGGCGACGGGUAGCCGGCCUGAGAGGGUGGACGGCCAAAUGGGGAGAGGGAGAGGGCCAAGAGGCAAAGGGGAGGCAGGAGGGGGAAAGAUGGAACAAGGGGGGGAAGCCGGAUGAAGCGAGGCGGGGGGGGGGAGGAGGGCUUUGGGGUGAAAAACUAGUUCACCCAGGGACGAAGGUUUUGGGAGGGUAGAGGGAAAAAAAGCACGGGCAAACUAGGUC